AACGAACGCUGGCGGCAUGCCUAACACAUGCAAGUCGAACGAGACCUUCGGGUCUAGUGGCGCACGGGUUCGUAACGCGUGGGAACCUGCCCUUAGGUUCGGAAUAACUCCCCGAAAGGGGUGCUAAUACCGGAUAAUGUCUUCGGACCAAAGAUUUAUUGCCUUUGGAUGGGCCCGCGUUGGAUUAGCUAGUUGGUAGGGUAAAAGCCUACCAAGGCGACGAUCCAUAGCUGGUCUGAGAGGAUGAUCAGCCACACUGGGACUGAGACACGGCCCAGACUCCUACGGGAGGCAGCAGUGGGGAAUAUUGGACAAUGGGCGAAAGCCUGAUCCAGCAAUGCCGCGUGAGUGAUGAAGGCCUUAGGGUUGUAAAGCUCUUUUACCCGGGAUGAUAAUGACAGUACCGGGAGAAUAAGCUCCGGCUAACUCCGUG
rnacentral:rRNA from 1 species